rnacentral:rRNA from 1 species
GUCUACAGCCAUGCCACCCUGAACGUGUCCUAUCUUGUCUGAUCUCGGAAGCUAAGCAGGGUCGGGCCUCGUUAGUACUUGGAUGGGACCACUUAGGAAUAUCAGGUGCUAUAGGCA